rnacentral:lncRNA from 1 species
GGGCCCGUCGGUGGGAGCAGAGGGUCGCGGGUGACCCCGGGGCGCCGAGGUCCCCGCUCUGCGGGCUCACGCUCCCCCCUGCCGUGUGGCCUUUCCUGGCCAGGCGGUUGCGUUGCAGUCGGUGAUGCAGAAACAUUAUAAAGCGCUACCCCCCGUGGUUUGGCAACACUCCCCUGUUUUGAGUCAAAGUAUUUUUAUUUUCUUAUCUGAUUUCUCAAGGUUUUGUUUUUGUUAUUCUGUUGUGGGUUUUUUUGUUUGUUUGUUUUUUGGGUUUUUUUGGAUCAAACAUCGGUGACUCCAUACCCUGGGCUUUGCUCUGAGGGACGCUUGAGCGCCCCCCCAGAAAGUCGAUGGGACAAUGACAUUUUAACUCUUUUAUUGGUUGGCGUGAUCUGCUUUAUCUCAGAAAAAUCUGAUUCGGAAGGGUUCCGCAGCCCCGAUGUUGCAGGUUCUGCAGCACAAGCCCCCGGUUGUUGCAGCAUGAGGUCUCUGCGGCACCUGAAACUGCUCCAAGUCAACCAAGCCAGGUUCAGCGUUAGGUUACUUUGCACAGGGCCAGAGGCUGGCCAGCUACUCUGAUGGUUUCACCUAGACUACAGACUGCUUCCAGUCGUUUCCACAUGUGCAAUCCGACCACCAACAUCAGGUCUCAUUUCUCUCUCAGGAGGGCAUGUUUGUCAAUUUGAUCGCAACUACAUUUACCAUAGAUUGUAACAGUGACCUUGAGCUCCUCUGGAGAGAUUUGUCCAUCUACAGCGUCCCCUGACCUAAUUUUGACCACCCUCAAUGGAAAACAAUAUGUGCUUGGUUUAGUUCACAAUUUAAGUAUCAACGUUUGAUUAGCCCAUAAAACAAAGCAAAACCAGUGGCUUUGACUCCUCCCUGGAGCUCCUGUUCCCUAGCUCCCUGUCUAGUGUACUGGAACUGUAAUUUGAAUAGACAUUCUUGCUGAUAUUUAAACAAGGCAAACAUUUUGGUCAUCAUUUUUUUUCCCUCUCUCUCAAGUUCUUGUGGAAGGACAGCCCCUACCCCAAUCUCUCCCUUCUGAUUGCAUUGUACCACCCCAAAGGGCAUCUGGGCACUCUUCCAUGACCUUUUAUUUGUGGUACUUGAGUUUAUGGUUUCCCACACAUGUGGGGUAGGGAUGAGAGAGGCUGGUUUCUGUGUUUAGCCAGACCCAGUGAUAGUAAAGUUGUACAGUUUGUUCUAAGUUCCUUAAGCUCUGUCCUUUGAAAUUGCCAAAGCCUGGAACGGGGUAGUCCAAUAUUAUAAGUCCUUGUCCCCCCAAAUAGGCCAACCCUGUGUUCUCCCAGACACUCAAAGAACAGUGCAUGCUGACUAGCAAGCAGGUGGAGUGAAAACAAGACUUAUGCGGGUCACUGAGCAAUUUUGGACUCUGUUCAGGUGAUGACCCCGGGACUUACUCUGCAAACAUUUUUAUAGAAUGCAUGAUUGUGUUUACCAGCUACCCCAGUGAAGUAGGUACGGUAUAGCAGUGAACCAUAGCACACAGUGUGGAAAAUGACUCAGGAGGGGCUCGGUGAGUGCUAGAGACUCUUCCCAGAUCUCCAUAUAAUGACAUGUAGGUUUUGACUGAUAAGCUUGUUGUAUAUCUCAUGUCACUAAUGGAGAAAAAAAUCAAGCUCUAAUAGUACAGAUAAAGGAAUGAUUGUAAAAACAUGGAAUUCCUGCUUAAACAUCUGUACCAGGUCUUGUGCCCUAUUGCCUCAACUUCUGUCCUGUUGUACGAACUACUCAGCAAAUCAAGGUAGCGUAAGCCACAACCUGUUAUUGACUGAUUAUUCCUUUAUUUUAUGUAAUUGAAUCAAUAUAAUCAUUAUUGUGCUAGUAAUAUAUUUCUGAGUAAUGGGAGUACCAGAAAAAGCAACCUCUUUCAUGAGGUUUGGAGUGGGGAUGGGGUCCCUCUGCCUACCUAAGGAAGUCUAAUAGGGGUUUGAGGGCUGGAUUCUUUUCUCUGUCUUUUUUUUUUUUUACAGAUUUUAUUUAUUUAUUCAUGAUAGACACACACAGAGAGAGGCAGAGACACAGGCAGAGGGAGAAGCAGGCUCCAUGCAGGCAGCCUGAUGCAGGACUUGAUCCCAGGACCCCAGAAUCACACCCUGAGCCAAAGGCAGAUGCUCAACCGCUGAGCCACCCAGGCGUCCUGAGGGAUGGAUUAUUUUCUUCCUCAGGAGCUAGAAGAGGCUUGUGCUAAAACUGAAAUAUGAUGUGUACUUUAUGAAAUAGCCAAGACCGGCUCUGCCAGUUUUGUUUUCAAAACUAGUCUCUAUCCCGUGGCAGGGGAAAUGAACAAGUUACUUUACAAUUAUUAAAAAAAAAAA